AAGAAGUGAGUGAGUGUCAGUGAGAGACAGAAGAGCUCCAUCAGCUCAGCUUCAACAUCAACCAUGUUCUCUGGAGCUCUGAUACUGCUGCUGGCAGCUGGAUCCUGUGUGAACAGUAUUGAUCUCAUCCAGCCAGACUCAAUGGUUGUGCAGCCUGGACAGUCUUUGACCAUCACCUGUCAGGUCUCUGGUUAUUCUCUGACUGAUAACAGCUAUGCAACCGGUUGGAUCAGACAGUGUGAAGGAAAACCAAUGGACUGGAUUUUACAAUGGUGGGGAACAAGUGGCCUUGUUCAAAAUAAUGCUCUGAAGAACAAGUUCAGCUACAGCAGAGACACUUCUGCUGGAACAGUGACUCUAAACGGACAGAACGUGCAGCCUGAAGACUCUGCUGUGUAUUACUGUGCCAGAGACACACACUGGUUAAAGUUACCAGAGAAACUGUACAAAAACCAUAAAUAA